rnacentral:rRNA from 1 species
CGAACGGGUGAGUAACGCGUGAGGAACCUGCCUCAAAGAGGGGGACAACAGUUGGAGACGACUGCUAAUACCGCAUAAGCCCACGGGUCGGCAUCGACCUGAGGGAAAAGGAGCAAUCCGCUUUGAGAUGGCCUCGCGUCCGAUUAGCUAGUUGGUGAGGUAAUGGCCCACCAAGGCGACGAUCGGUAGCCGGACUGAGAGGUUGAACGGCCACAUUGGGACUGAGACACGGCCCAG